rnacentral:miRNA from 1 species
AAAACUGUCUAAUUACAGUUGU